GUCAUGGCUCAGUGGCAGAACACUUGCUUUGCAUGCAGAAGGUCAAGGGUUCGAUCCCUGGCAUCUCCA
rnacentral:tRNA from 1 species